CGGAGUGUAGCGCAGUGGCUAGCGAAUGUCGUUCGGGACGAAGAGGCCGGUGGUUUGGGUCCACUCACCCCGAGCA
rnacentral:tRNA from 1 species